GUGACAGAGUGAGGAAGGGGGUGACACAGUGACAGAGUGAGGGAGGGGGUGACUAGUGACAGAGUGAAGGAGGUGGUGACCGUCACUAGUCACCCCCUCCCUCACUCUGUCACUAGUCACCCCCUCCCUCACUGUCACUAGUCACCCCCUCCCUCUCUCUGUCACUAGUGACACCCUCCCUCACUCUCACUAGUCACCCCCUCCCUCACUGUCACUAGUCAC